rnacentral:rRNA from 1 species
GACGAACGCUGGCGGCGUGCUUAACACAUGCAAGUCGAACGGAAAGGCCCUGCUUGCAGGGUACUCGAGUGGCGAACGGGUGAGUAACACGUGGGUGAUCUGCCCUGCACUUCGGGAUAAGCCUGGGAAACUGGGUCUACUACCGGAUAGGAGCCAUUUUUAGUGUGAUGGUUGGAAAGUUUUUUUGGUGUAGGAUGAGCUCGCGGCCUAUCAGCUUGUUGGUGGGGUAAUGGCCUACCAAGGCGGCGACGGGUAGCUGGCCUGGGAGGGUGGCCGGCAACAGUGGGACUGAGAGUGGGCCCAGACCCCGACUGGAGGCGGAGGUGGGAGAGAUGGCACAAUGGGCGCGAGCGUGAGGCAGCGACGCCGCGGGGGGGAGGACGGCGAUCGGGUUGGAAACGCAUUUCGCUAGCAACGAAGCUUUUUGUGACGGUACCUAGAGAAGAAGCACCGGCUAACUACGUG